rnacentral:rRNA from 1 species
AUUGAACGCUGGCGGCAGGCUUAACACAUGCAAGUCGAGCGGAGAUGAGGUGCUUGCACCUUAUCUUAGCGGCGGACGGGUGAGUAAUGCUUAGGAAUCUGCCAUUUAGUGGGGGACAACAUUCCGAAAGGAAUGCUAAUACCGCAUACGUCCUACGGGAGAAAGCAGGGGAUCUUCGGACCUUGCGCUAAAUGAUGAGCCUAAGUCGGAUUAGCUAGUUGGUGGGGUAAAGGCCUACCAAGGCGACGAUCUGUAGCGGGUCUGAGAGGAUGAUCCGCCACACUGGGACGGAGACACGGCCCAGACUCCUACGGGAGGCAGCAGUGGGGAAUAUUGGACAAUGGGCGGAAGCCUGAUCCAGCCAUGCCGCGUGUGUGAAGAAGGCCUUUUGGUUGUAAAGCACUUUAAGCGAGGAGGAGGCUACUAGUACUAACACUACUGAAUAGUGGACGUUACUCGCAGAAUAAGCACCGGCUAGCUCUGUGCCAGCCGCCGCGGUAAUAC